rnacentral:lncRNA from 1 species
GAUUUGGCGUGUUGGGCCGUAAAUAUGGUCUUGCUGUUGAUCAUGUAAUUGAUGCUAAAUUGGUUGAUGCUAAUGGAAGGGUUCUUCGUCGAAAAUCCAUGGGUGAAGAUUUGUUUUGGGCUAUCCGAGGAGGUGGAGGGAAUACCUUUGGGGUUGUUCUUGCUUGGAAAGUAAAGUUAGUCCCUGUUCCACCGGUUGUAACUGUGUUUACAGUUAACAAGAACCUGGAACAAAAUGCAACCAAAAUCUUCCAUCGAUGGCAAUACAUUGCUCACAAGUUACCCAAGGAUUUAUUUACGACUGUUUGGGUAAUGAAGGUGAAUUCCAGUCAAGUAGGGAAGAAAACAGUUCAAGCUAGUUUUAGGGGCAUGUUACUUGGUGGGGUUGAUGAGUUGAUUCCAUUGAUCCAAAACGAGUUUCCAGAGCUAGGACUUGCCAAAGAGAAUUGUACCCAAAUGAGUUGGGUUCAAUCUAUUCUUUACUUUGGAGGACUUCCAAUUCAACCCGUGGAUAUUUUGCUUAAUAGACAUGCUCUUCCAGUAUCAAGCGUCAAAGAAAAAACGGACUUCGUCAGGGAACCGAUGUCUGAAACUGGAAUCGAAGGGUUCAUGAACAUGUUUCUUGAGGAAGAAGCUGACUUUGCUAUAACGAUGAUAGAGGCUUUCGGAGGCAGAAUGGAUGAAAUCCGGGAAAAUGAAUUACCUUACCCACAUAGAGCAGGCAUCUUGUUCGAAUCCACUUACAUUGUGCAAUGGACAAAUGAAGCAGAUGCGGGAACGUACAUAAACUGGAUCCGAAGACUCUACAGUUAUAUGGCCAGUUAUGCUUCCAAGUCUCCGAGAGAAGCAUAUUAUAAUUACAAGGAUCUAGAUCUUGGAACUAACAACAUUAUUGGUUACACAAGUUACGAACAAGCUAGCGUUUGGGGUCUUAAAUAUUUCAAGAAUAACUUCAAAAGAUUGGUGCAAAUAAAGACCAAGGUUGAUCCAAUGAAUUUCUUUAGAAACGAGCAAAGUAUCCCUCCGCUUUGAUCUCUAUGAAAGAAGAAAGGUCGUCAGGGUUGAAGAUUUUAGAGUUUUUUUUUUAAUGAAAUAAUAUUUGGGUGAAAAGUAAUACUAUAUUGUAAAAUAAAUUGUUUCUUUGUCAUUAUAUAUGUCAUGAUGAAUAAUUUAGUGCAUAAUGUAUUAAUUAAAUUAUAAAUUUAUCUUUAUUCUAAAAUAGUUUUUGUGCGGUGAUUAUACUUGAAAGGUCCCUGCAUUACAGGGAUUGGAUCACAUGGUUUGUCAUUUUAAUUUUUUAUUCAAUAAAAAUUUCAAUAAGAAAAAGGAGUUGAAUAAGAUAAUAGGUGUGGGGUAUGCCUGGCAUUUUCGGACCUUUUAGGCACUUACUGUUACCCCUAUCGCGACACGAGGACUUCAAAAACACAACAUGCCCAACAGACGAUGACAUCAUAACGAGGAGGUUUCCGACGUCACAACGACACAGUGUCACAACAACGGACGACAUCAUGGUGAGAUGAUUCAGGACAUUGUGACAUGGCGAUGUGUUCCCAUAUAAAUCAGGUUUCGUUUCCCAGUUAAACUCUGCUACCUUUUCGAGUCAAACUUAGAUUAUUUUAGAGAUAUUUUUUAGUCAGAUAUUCACACUAAUUUCAACCUAUAUAAGGACUUUAGUAACCCUAGAAUCGACAUCUUCAUCACAUUAAGAUUAAGAGAAGAUUAAGAGAGUUUUUGAAAGAGUUUAAGGGAAUUUCUUAUUUUAGCCAGAGAACUUUAUUUUUUAGGAUUCAGGGUUUUCUGUUUUGGUUAUCUCCAUCUUGUACUCUUCGUUUAUUUGCUCAUUAAGUAAAGCCUAUUUUGCCUGUGGUUUUUUUAUAAUCUCCAAAGGGAUUUUUCCAUGUAAAUAUUUGUGUAUCCAAUUUUAUUUUUCUCUUUUUUUUGUUGCGUAUUGAUCCACAAUAAACUGGCAUUAGAGCUUAGUUCAUUUUUCACAAUCAAUUCGUUCAGGGAUGACAAUGAGAUAUAAUAUCGAGAAGUUCGAUGGCAUCACAAAUUUCAGUUUAUGGCACGUAUGGAUGAUAGUUAUUUUGGUUCAGUAUGGCCUGAAAAAUGUCAUUACAGGGAAAAAGCCCGCAGAUAUGAAUCAGUUAGAAUGGGAUAAGCUUGAUAAGAAGACUUUGUCAGCAAUUCAGUUGUGCCUCACAAACAAUAUGUUGCAGGAGAUAUUUACAGAGAAAACGAUAGCAGCCUUAUAUAUGGAGUAAGUUAGAAACCCUAUACAUGACCAAGUUUCUAGCAGAUCGAUUGGUGUUGAAACAACACCUUUACACGUUUCGUAUAGCCGAAGGUGAGUACCUUAAGAGUCACAUUAGUCAAUUUGUUACUCUCUUGAAUGAUCUUAAAAACGUCGAGGUUAAUAUAGAUGAUGAAGAUCAGACUAUGCUAUUAUUGUGCUCUUUGCCCCUUUCGUAUAAGUCUUUCAAGGAGACCUUGAUUUAUAGUAGAGAUAAACUCUCGUUCGAGGAAGCAAAAGGAAACGUGUUGAGCAAAGACAGACUUGACAAUGAGUUUGAUUCGGAUAGCAAGUCAAAUGAGCAAGCCUCGGUUUUGGUUGCAAGAAGCAAGAAAGAAUCAAAGUCAAGGAAUCGAGACAAAACAUGUGGCUACUACAAGAAGUUAGGUCACAUUAAGACAAAGUGUUUGCAAAAAAUCAAAUGCUAGUUCAUUGUAUGCAUGACUUUUUUAGAUGUAUGAUUCUGAUUGGUACAUAAAUAUAUAAUAUACAUGACAUGCAUAUAUUUUUACAAUCAUGAAAAAGAGAAAGAAAGAAGUUAAUGAAAUUUUAAGCAAUGCAAGGAAAUAAUGUUUCAGUUGGUGCCUCAAGCCAAAAACACAUGUUUGUUCGAUGAUUUGAAAUCCAAAUAACCAUGUCUAUUUUGUAAACUUCCAUACAUGAAAAGUUAUGACUUGUCAAAAGGCACUUGUGUACUUAUUGGUACAUUAUAUAGAGUUGUUUGGUUGGAGUUGAAUUAAUUUAAUUCAUUCCAUCCAAUUUCUGAGUGAAAUUUUUAGUACAAAAAUAUUCUUUCUUUUUAAUGAUAUUCAAUUUGAGAUAUGAUAUUAUUUAUUUAAAUAAUGAUAUUAGUAACCAACAUUUGGAUAAUAUAGAUGAGACAUCAUUUUCAUUGUUAAAAAUGAAAGUUUGUAGAUGAUCGUAUAAUAUAAAUGAUUUUAGUUGUUGUUUUUAUUAAAUACCCUUAAGCUAAACGAGUUUUAUAAAUGAUUGCACAUUUUUUAUUCUAUAUCAUAAAGUUUGGACUAGAAGUGAUUUUGACUAGAAAAGAAUUAAGUUAUAUGCAUAUGUAUGGUUAAUUUUUCUAAUCAAUGUAGAAUAGUGGAAAAUUUGGCUUAUAUAAUAAUAUCAUUAUUCUGAUAUGAAAUUUUCUAGUGAGAAUAUAUAACGUGAUAAUCAUAUAUUUAAAAUCGAGAUCAUAUUGUGCAUAUUUAUAAUGGUGCAUAUGGUUUUUGUACAUGGCUUGGAUAUAAUCCAUGGUCUCACGAUUCUAUAAAAUUUGAGAUGUAGUAAAUUUCAAAAUUCACUUUCAAAGUCACGAAUAAAAAAAUAUCAUGAGUAUGAAAUUACAAUAUGACUACUAUUUGACCCAUUUUUAGGUGAUGGACCUGAUUUUGAUCAUAGUCAGAAAAUAAUUGAUAAUGCCCAUGGUGAAUAAAUGUAUGAUUUUAUAGUUGACUGGACAAUUGAUGGUAUAUUAGUGUGACUAUAUAUGUUACACCCUUGUAUAUACAAGGUGUGUUGAGAAAAAUAAUGUUAUUUGACUAUGAAUGAAAAAAAAAUUAAAGUCAUCUACUGAUUUUGAAAAUAAACUAUGACAAAUAACAAAUAUGUUGUCCAGUUUCACCAAGAGAUUGGCCUGUUAACAGCAACUUACUUGGUGAAAAAUACAUGAUUUAUGGUUUCUAUAUUUGGUUAUUGUGAAAUUAAUUUCUUGAAUAUUAAGAAAUAAAUAAAAUAGUCAAAUAUGAUAAGAAAAGAUAAAGUGAUCACUAUAAUUUGACAAUAGCAAAAAGGAUAUCCUUGAUAGCAUUUUUUUUGCGAAAAGAAUGAGUAAUUAACACAGUGAGGAUGUUGGUCUUCUAAAUUUUUAAGACAUAAAUAAAUAUUAUAAAGUUUCACCAUGUGAUAUGGAUAGUUAACAUAACUAUGUUGAAAUUUUGGAAAUUGAGAGAUGAGGUUCAAGCCUAUAAUAUUUGAGUCACGGAAACUCAACUCAACGCUUGGUAUAACGUUAAGUCUUGAGUUCAAUAAAGUAAAGUACAUCAUCAAUAUGUGGCUACUAGCACUAUAAAAAAUAUAUAUUAUAAACAUCAGACAAUGAUUAUCUUUGAAACGAUACCAAAUAUCUACCAAACCUCAUAAUUUAGACGAAAAUUAAAAUUUAGCUACUCAUAAUUAAAGGAUAAUAAAAUAAAACUCAAAUAACAAUGGCCUUGGUCUCUUCGGGUGCGCCCCCGGCCCCUCUCCUUACGUCUAUUAUUAUUAAAACCUAAUUAAGUAGCUGUGGCGGCCCCCAAUUUUGACGAAAAUAAUGAUAAUAAUAUCCAAUGACCCUAAAAAUAAGGGUAAUAUUAAAACCAAGAAAGAAAAUUUUAAAGAUAAAUAUUCUAAUCAAAAUUAGGUUAUUGGAAUUUAAAAAUAUAUAUUAGAGUUGAAUACAAAUAAUAAAUAACUUCAAAAUUCAUUAGAAAAUUUAAGAAUUUCAUCGCAAAUUGUAAUAAUUUUAAUUUAUUUAAUAUAUAUUUUUAAAUGGUUUGACUGUUAAGAGUGUUCACCGCCUUAGAUGUAGCUUGAGUUUAAGUCAUGUUAGUCGUAUUAAUCAUUCGAGUUUUAUUCUAUUAUCAUAAUUCACCAAAAAAAUUCGAAAAUUGUGUAUAAAAUUGGUAUCUACCUUUUUAAAUUAAACUUCGAUGCACUAAACACGGUGUUAAGCAAAUUGGUAUUGUUUAGAGCAUUUUGUUUUCCCUAGGAGUAGACUUUGACAAAGUAAAUGGAAUAAUAAAUAUAAAACUUUUGAAACAUAGUUAUAAAUAAGUGUAACACAUUUCCAUACUCACAACCAACUUAAGAACAUGAAAUUCCUUCAACUUUCUGUGCUUCCAUUUCUUAUUGUGAUAUUGUCAUUGAAUGGGGCAACUUUAGCUCAUCCUUAUGGAGAUUUCCUUCAUUGCCUUUCUCUCCGUAUAUCAAACUCUUCUACUAUUUCUAAAGUUAUUUACACCCAAAAUAAUCCCUCCUAUUCAUCGGUUUUGAAUGCUUCUAUUCAUAAUGCUAGGUUCUCUACACCAACCACCCCUAAACCCUAUGCCAUUAUUACACCACGCAAAACAUCCCAUGUCCAAUCAACAAUUUAUUGUUCCAACAACCAUGGCUUCCAACUUAGGAUUCGAAGUGGUGGUCAUGAUGUUGAGGGUGUUUCUUAUGUUUCUCAAGUUCCAUUUGUCAUCCUUGAUUUGGUCAACUUUCGAGAGGUUAAAGUUGACACAGAAAAUGAAGUUGCCUGGGUUCAAUCUGGUGCAACUACAGGUGAAUUAUAUUAUGGGAUUGCUUCGAAGACGCAGACGCUCGGCUUUCCUGCUGGUAUUUGCCACACUAUAGGCAUUGGUGGGCAUUUAAGUGGGGGUGGAUUUGGCGUAUUGGGCCGUAAAUAUGGUCUUGCUGUUGAUCAUGUAAUUGAUGCUAAAUUGGUUGAUGCUAAUGGAAGGGUUCUUCGUCGAAAAUCCAUGGGUGAAGAUUUGUUUUGGGCUAUCCGAGGAGGUGGAGGGAAUACCUUUGGGGUUGUUCUUGCUUGGAAAGUAAAGUUAGUCCCUGUUCCACCGGUUGUAACUGUGUUUACAGUUAACAAGAACUUGGAACAAAAUGCAACCAAAAUCUUCCAUCGAUGGCAAUACAUUGCUCACAAGUUACCCAAGGAUUUAUUUACGACUGUUUGGGUAAUGAAGGUGAAUUCCAGUCAAGUAGGGAAGAAAACAGUUCAAGCUGGUUUUAGGGGCA